rnacentral:rRNA from 1 species
UACAGAGGGUGCGAGCGUUGUUCGGAAUUAUUGGGCGUAAAGCGCGUGUAGGCGGCUUUGCAAGUCGGGUGUGAAAGCCCUCAGCUUAACUGAGGAAGUGCGCCCGAAACUGCAGAGCUUGAGUACCGGAGAGGAUGGCGGAAUUCCCCAAGUAGAGGUGAAAUUCGUAGAUAUGGGGAGGAACACCGGUGGCGAAGGCGGCCAUCUGGACGGAUACUGACGCUGAGACGCGAAAGCGUGGGGAGCAAACAGG